rnacentral:rRNA from 1 species
UUAUGAGAGUUUGAUCCUGGCUCAGGACGAACGCUGGCGGCGUGCCUAAUACAUGCAAGUCGAACGCUUCUUUUUCCACCGGAGCUUGCUCCACCGGAAAAAGAGGAGUGGCGAACGGGUGAGUAACACGUGGGUAACCUGCCCAUCAGAAGGGGAUAACACUUGGAAACAGGUGCUAAUACCGUAUAACAAUCGAAACCGCAUGGUUUUGAUUUGAAAGGCGCUUUCGGGUGUCGCUGAUGGAUGGACCCGCGGUGCAUUAGCUAGUUGGUGAGGUAACGGCUCACCAAGGCCACGAUGCAUAGCCGACCUGAGAGGGUGAUCGGCCACAUUGGGACUGAGACACGGCCCAAACUCCUACGGGAGGCAGCAGUAGGGAAUCUUCGGCAAUGGACGAAAGUCUGACCGAGCAACGCCGCGUGAGUGAAGAAGGUUUUCGGAUCGUAAAACUCUGUUGUUAGAGAAGAACAAGGAUGAGAGUAACUGUUCAUCCCUUGACGGUAUCUAACCAGAAAGCCACGGCUAACUACGUGCCAGCAGCCGCGGUAAUACGUAGGUGGCAAGCGUUGUCCGGAUUUAUUGGGCGUAAAGCGAGCGCAGGCGGUUUCUUAAGUCUGAUGUAAAGCCCCGGCUCAACCGGGGAGGGUCAUUGGAAACUGGGAGACUUGAGUGCAGAAGAGGAGAGUGGAAUUCCAUGUGUAGCGGUGAAAUGCGUAGAUAUAUGGAGGAACACCAGUGGCGAAGGCGGCUCUCUGGUCUGUAACUGACGCUGAGGCUCGAAAGCGUGGGAGCAAACAGGAUUAGAUACCCUGGUAGUCCACGCCGUAAACGAUGAGUGCUAAGUGUUGGAGGGUUUCCGCCCUUCAGUGCUGCAGCUAACGCAUUAAGCACUCCGCCUGGGGAGUACGACCGCAAGGUUGAAACUCAAAGGAAUUGACGGGGGCCCGCACAAGCGGUGGAGCAUGUGGUUUAAUUCGAAGCAACGCGAAGAACCUUACCAGGUCUUGACAUCCUUUGACCACUCUAGAGAUAGAGCUUCCCCUUCGGGGGCAAAGUGACAGGUGGUGCAUGGUUGUCGUCAGCUCGUGUCGUGAGAUGUUGGGUUAAGUCCCGCAACGAGCGCAACCCUUAUUGUUAGUUGCCAUCAUUCAGUUGGGCACUCUAGCAAGACUGCCGGUGACAAACCGGAGGAAGGUGGGGAUGACGUCAAAUCAUCAUGCCCCUUAUGACCUGGGCUACACACGUGCUACAAUGGGAAGUACAACGAGUCGCGAAGUCGCGAGGCUAAGCUAAUCUCUUAAAGCUUCUCUCAGUUCGGAUUGCAGGCUGCAACUCGCCUGCAUGAAGCCGGAAUCGCUAGUAAUCGCGGAUCAGCACGCCGCGGUGAAUACGUUCCCGGGCCUUGUACACACCGCCCGUCACACCACGAGAGUUUGUAACACCCGAAGUCGGUGAGGUAACCUUUUGGAGCCAGCCGCCUAAGGUGGGAUAGAUGAUUGGGGUGAAGUCGUAACAAGGUAGCCGUAUCGGAAGGUGCGGCUGGAUCACCUCCUUU